CCGGGGAGGGACAAGACAAACGCACGCAGCGUGUAAAGAGCAGCUCAAAUGCUAAGCCGGCCGGUUUGCCGUUAGCGACAGAAAACAAAUGAAAUGUAAGACAAGGUAGCAUGGCGGUCUAGUGGUCAGCACGUCUGUCAACGUGCAUGUUAGGUUCAUCGAAAGUCCACUUGCCCCAAACCAGAUGGUCUCGCAUAGCACCAAGGCGAAGGAUUUUCGAUCUGUUAUUCAGUCAACUACAGGGAGUACCAGACGUCUCUUUGGGCUGAGAUCAAAAUCAUCUACUGAGCGUGGCUGCAUCAGAACAACAACAAAAAAACAACUCAGUCCACGUCGAAACACCUGAGCGUGAUUUAUCCAAUCGGACGCGUAGAUACAUUGAUUCAAAUAAUAUGCCCCAAAAGUCUGUCAUCUUGGUUGGAAUCGAACAUUUUAACCAGUACAGUGGAGCCUGGUGAUACAAUACGAGUGGCCCGACUUGUUAGUUUUUCUAGCGCUGUCGUUCGGCUGAUUUUUUUUUAGCUUUGAUUUGUGAGCAUAAAUGUGGGAUACAAGUGGUGUAUGUACGUAUGUAGUGAACUCAACUCACUUCACAACAAGUAGCACUUUGGCAAUUAGUCAACAAUUUCGCCAUAAAAGGGGCUUCAAGCUGUUUAUUGCCACUUCAUUUCCCGUCAAACCGAGCAUCAAACAAAGACAAUUACACAUUGGGAAUUUAAGACACCCAUAAAGCUUUGCCUUAACAAAGUCUGUUUACCUUAAUGCUAACUAAAAAUGCAAAACACCAUGGACGGGCUAACGAAUAGCAUCAGUGUUGCGGUGUUAUAUCCUAACCCUUAAGCAACAGAUACUUCAACAGGCAAACGGUGGAGAAACACAC